GACGAACGCUGGCGGCAUGCCUAACACAUGCAAGUCGAACGGAGCUAACUUACGGAAGUUUUCGGAUGGAAGUUUUUUAGCUUAGUGGCGGACGGGUGAGUAACGCGUGAGCAACCUGCCUUUCAGUGGGGGACAACAGUUGGAAACGACUGCUAAUACCGCAUAACAUAUCGGGAUCGCAUGGUUCUGAUAUCAAAGAUUUAUCGCUGAAAGAUGGGCUCGCGUCUGAUUAGCUAGUUGGUGAGGUAACGGCUCACCAAGGCGACGAUCAGUAGCCGGACUGAGAGGUUGAACGGCCACAUUGGGACUGAGAUACGGCCCAGACUCCUACGGGAGGCAGCAGUGAGGAAUAUUGCACAAUGGGCGCAAGCCUGAUGCAGCAAUGCCGCGUGAAGGAAGAAGGUUUUCGGAUUGUAAACUUCUUUUCUGGAGAAAGAUAAUGACGGUACUCCAGGAAUAAGCCACGGCUAACUACGUGCCAGCCGCCGCCGUAAAAC
rnacentral:rRNA from 1 species